AGCUGCCAUUGUUCACAGGGACAGCAGAGGUGAGUCACUGUGGCAUUGUCCACCACUCUAUCAGCAGGAAACAGCUGGACUGGCCAAUACACCAAAUGCAGGAAACCUCAAUCUCCCCAGGGCCCCCCAGGGCCCUUCCCUGUUUAGACACCCAGCAUCCUGCCUGCCUGUCCCCUAGAGACCCCUGACCAGCCCCAGACAACUGAACAGACAACUCUGUUUCCUGCGUCCAUGUUUCUGAGGUUUCUUUCGCACUUAAUGGCUGUAGAGAGGAGGCAAGAUGAAAGAAGGGAACGGAAGCUCCGUCCAUGAGGGGGAAGCAGGUUUAAGUUCAAGAACACCCUCGCCUACAAAAGAAGUUGAAGGCCAGCCUGGAUUAUGAAAGAAGACUGUCUUAACAAAGAUUAACUUGAAGUGGUAGCUUGUUACUUUGUAACUACUUGGGAUGCUGAGACAGAAGCCUUGCUUAAGACUGGGAGUUAUGAUCAGCCCAGGUAACUGUGCAAGACCCUAUUUCAAAACCUCCACAAAACAAAACCCUGCACAUCAGCCCUCAAGGCAGUGUAAUCUAUGAGUGAAAAGACAACUCUGCCUGUCAACUGAGCAGACAACACACACAAAAUGUGCCCUUUUCAACGUUGGAACCUUCCUCAGUGGUUCGGGGUUCAGUCCCCCCCAACUCCAUCUCACAAAGAAAGGAAAUGAAAUUCUGACACAUUUUAGGACAUGGAUCCUGAGUUAAAGGCCAGUCACAAAAUAUCACAUACUACAUGACUCCAUCUGGAAGAAACGUCCAGAGCAGGCAGAUGUAGAGAGACAGAGUGCUGUCCAGGCCUGGGAUUGGGAGAGAAGCUGGUAGAGGACGGGAGAGGCUGCGAAUGGGAUUUCUUUCUGGGCAACAAAAAUGUUCUAGAAGUGAGAGUGGUAAUGGUCACACAACAGAAUAUGCUAAAACAAAAACACCUAAUUAUAUCCUUAAGAUGGGUUAAGUUUUUAGGGAAAUGAGCUACAUAUGAAUAACGCAAACCAGCCAGCCCUCUUUCCUGAUUUCAAUACUUUACAGGGAAUGUGAUAAAGGACAGAGAUUGAGGAGUUCAUUACAGGAGAGCAACAACUCACUAGCUCUUGCCAGAGUCCAAGAUGUCAAUCAGUCAUUCAACAAAGCUUCGCUCUGUCACAUGUUUCCUGCCAUGGCAUGCUGUCUUGCCAGAGACCUGAAAGAAACAGAGCUAACUGAUCAUGGACCAAAUCCUCCAAAGCCACAAGCCACCAAAGAGUGUUUCACCUCAUCAGUGCAUUCAUCUCAGAGUCUUCACACAGCAAAGGAAAGCUGGCGAGUCUGCCAGACAGCCACAGACCUGCUUCCUCCUUCCCUGAGACUUCCAUCACUCCCAACACACACACACACAUAUACACACACACACACACACAUGGCCCACCACCAUGCCACUACCUGCCCUGUGCCCUCCCCUGCUCCCUUCCCCCACCUCACCAGCCUCCCCCAACUGACAGAAGCACAUUUGAUGUUUCUUGACUGUGGUUGGGAGAAGGGGAAACUGAGACCCCAGUUGCCUUGUUAAUGCUUCACUCAAAUGCCAGCAGCUUCAAGGAUCGCUAGGCCUGAGGAAAAGAGACGGAAAACACUCUAACACACACAGAUGCAGUCACACACACACUUUCUCUCCCUCUCUCCUUCUCUCUCUCUUCUCUCUCUCUCUCUCUCUCUCUCUCUCUCUCUCUCUC